rnacentral:rRNA from 1 species
GAUGAACGCUGCCAGAAUGCUUAACACAUGCAAGUCUACUUGAACUUCGGUUUGGGUGGCGGACGGGUGAGUAACGCGUAAAGAACUUGCCUCACAGUUAGGGACAACAUUUGGAAACGAAUGCUAAUACCUGAUAUUAUGAUUUUAGGGCAUCCUAAAAUUAUGAAAGCUAUAUGCGCUGUGAGAGAGCUUUGCGUCCCAUUAGCUAGUUGGAGAGGUAACGGCUCACCAAGGCGAUGAUGGGUAGCCGGCCUGAGAGGGUGAACGGCCACAAGGGGACUGAGACACGGCCCUUACUCCUACGGGAGGCAGCAGUGGGGAAUAUUGGACAAUGGACCAAAAGUCUGAUACAGCAAUUCUGUGUGCACGAUGACGUUUUUCGGAAUGUAAAGUGCUUUCAGUUGGGAAGAAAAAAAUGACGGUACCAACAGAAGAAGUGACGGCUAAAUACGUG